rnacentral:rRNA from 1 species
ACUCAAAGGAAUUGACGGGGGCCCGCACAAGCGGUGGAGUAUGUGGUUUAAUUCGAGGCAACGCGAAGAACCUUACCUGGGUUUGACAUGCAUUGGACCGCCGGUGAAAGUCGGCUUUCCCUUCGGGGACUGAUGCACAGGUGCUGCAUGGCUGUCGUCAGCUCGUGCCGUGAGGUGUUGGGUUAAGUCCCGCAACGAGCGCAACCCUCGUCCUUAGUUGCCAUCAGGUAAUGCUGGGAACUCUAAGGAGACUGCCGGUGAUAAGCUGGAGGAAGGUGGGGAUGACGUCAAGUCCUCAUGGCCCUUAUAUCCAGGGCUACACACGUACUACAAUGGCCGGUACAAUAGGAUGCAAUGCCGCAAGGUGGAGCCAACCCCUAAAACCGGUCUCAGUUCAGAUUGGAGUCUGCAACUCGACUCCAUGAAGUUGGAAUCGCUAGUAAUCGCAGAUCAGCAGGCUGCGGUGAAUACGUUCCCGGGCCUUGCACACACCGCCCGU